rnacentral:ribozyme from 1 species
CAAAAAUAAGGAAGGAAAAUAUAUUAAAGAAAAAAAAUGAAGAGCUAUAGAAAAUAUAUAUCCACGUUCCUUUGGAUCUUCUCCUUUUCGCCAUCGUUCAAUUUCUUUUCUCUCACUUUCAUAAAGUGCGCGAUUUUCAA